rnacentral:rRNA from 1 species
CUCAGGAUGAACGCUGGCGGCGUGCCUAAUACAUGCAAGUCGAGCGAACAGAUAAGGAGCUUGCUCCUUUGACGUUAGCGGCGGACGGGUGAGUAACACGUGGGUAACCUACCUAUAAGACUGGAAUAACUCCGGGAAACCGGGGCUAAUGCCGGAUAACAUAUAGAACCGCAUGGUUCUAUAGUGAAAGAUGGUUUUGCUAUCACUUAUAGAUGGACCCGCGCCGUAUUAGCUAGUUGGUAAGGUAAUGGCUUACCAAGGCGACGAUACGUAGCCGACCUGAGAGGGUGAUCGGCCACACUGGAAGUGAGACACGGUCCAGACUCCUACGGGAGGCAGCAGUAGGGAAUCUUCCGCAAUGGGCGAAAGCCUGACGGAGCAACGCCGCGUGAGUGAUGAAGGGUUUCGGCUCGUAAAACUCUGUUAUUAGGGAAGAACAUAUGUGUAAGUAACUGUGCACAUCUUGACGGUACCUAAUCAGAAAGCCACGGCUAACUACGUGCCAGCAGCCGCGGUAAUACGUAGGUGGCAAGCGUUAUCCGGAAUUAUUGGGCGUAAAGCGCGCGUAGGCGGUUUCUUAAGUCUGAUGUGAAAGCCCACGGCUCAACCGUGGAGGGUCAUUGGAAACUGGGAAACUUGAGUGCAGAAGAGGAAAGUGGAAUUCCAUGUGUAGCGGUGAAAUGCGCAGAGAUAUGGAGGAACACCAGUGGCGAAGGCGACUUCUGGUCUUAACGACGCGAGGGAAGGG